GCUGGGCGUGGUGGUGUGCACCUGUAAUCCCAGCUACUCAGGAAGCUGGGGCAGAAGAAUCACUUGAGCCCAGGAGGCCAACAUUGCAGUGAGCAGAGAUUGUGCCACUACACUGUAGCCUGAAUGACAGAGUGAGACUCUGUCUCAA
rnacentral:SRP_RNA from 1 species